GAAAAAUCAACCAUUUUUUUUUCUGUGAAUCUGGUUUUCGGAUCAUUUACUCGCUCUUUCAGAUACUAUUGUCGCCCGAUGUCUUCAGCUUUACAACCAAGUCAAGAUCUGGCAUUUAUCUGAUGACAUGAAAAUGGCAUUACCAUAUCGUUACCUCGUCCAUACUCAACGAAACUUAAAAAAAAAAAAUGAAACGAAAAUUGUGAUACUGUAUAGCAAAUCCAAAAAUAUCAACGAAUCCAGUCUUUCUUUUGAUACGUUCGUAUGGAACAGAUACCAUCUACAUGCAUAUCAGUUUGUUUCUGGAAAGAAAAGAAGGGGAAAAAAACAUUGGAGAGAUAUUAUUUUUUUUAAAGUUGAUGUAGAAAUUCAAGAUAUUCGUCCUUCUACUUUUUCGUAAUAAAUAUGUAAUUUGUAA